rnacentral:rRNA from 1 species
CAUGGCUCAGAUUGAACGCUGGCGGCAGGCCUAACACAUGCAAGUCGAACGGUAGCACAAAGGAGCUUGCUCCUUGGGUGACGAGUGGCGGACGGGUGAGUAAUGUCUGGGAAACUGCCCGAUGGAGGGGGAUAACUACUGGAAACGGUAGCUAAUACCGCAUAACGUCGCAAGACCAAAGAGGGGGACCUUCGGGCCUCUUGCCAUCGGAUGUGCCCAGAUGGGAUUAGCUAGUAGGUGGGGUAACGGCUCACCUAGGCGACGAUCCCUAGCUGGUCUGAGAGGAUGACCAGCCACACUGGAACUGAGACACGGUCCAGACUCCUACGGGAGGCAGCAGUGGGGAAUAUUGCACAAUGGGCGCAAGCCUGAUGCAGCCAUGCCGCGUGUAUGAAGAAGGCCUUCGGGUUGUAAAGUACUUUCAGCGGGGAGGAAGGUGUUGUGGUUAAUAACCGCAGCAAUUGACGUUACCCGCAGAAGAAGCACCGGCUAACUCCGUGCCAGCAGCCGCGGUAAUACGGAGGGUGCAAGCGUUAAUCGGAAUUACUGGGCGUAAAGCGCACGCAGGCGGUCUGUCGAGUCGAAUGUGUGAAAUCCCCGGGCUCAACCUGGGAACUGCAUUCGAAACUGGCAGGCUAGAGUCUUGUAGAGGGGGGAAGGAAUUCCCGGUGUAACGGUGGAAUGUGUAGAUAUCGGGAAGAACACCAAUGGCGAAGGCAGGUCUCUGGGCCGUUACUGACGCUGAGGAGCGAAAGCGUGGGGAGCGAACAGGAUUAGAUACCCUGGUAGUCCACGCCGUAAACGAUGAGUGCUAAGUGUUGGAGGGUUUCCGCCCUUCAGUGCUGCAGCAAACGCAUUAAGCACUCCGCCUGGGGAGUACGACCGCAAGGUUGAAACUCAAAGGAAUUGACGGGGGCCCGCACAAGCGGUGGAGCAUGUGGUUUAAUUCGAAGCAACGCGAAGAACCUUACCAGGUCUUGACAUACUCAUGCUAUUUCUAGAGAUAGAAAGUUACUUCGGUACAUCGGUGACAGGUGGUGCAUGGUUGUCGUCAGCUCGUGUCGUGAGAUGUUGGGUUAAGUCCCGCAACGAGCACAACCCCUAUUGUUAGUUGCCAUCAUUAAGUUGGACACUCUAACGAGACUGCCGGUGAUAAACCGGAGGAAGGUGGGGAUGACGUCAAAUCAUCAUGCCCCUUAUGACCUGGGCUACACACGUGCCACAAUGGAUGGUACAACGAGUCGCGAGACAGUGAUGUUUAGCUAAUCUCUUAAAACCAUUCUCAGUUCGGAUUGUAGGCUGCAACUCGCCUACAUGAAGUCGGAAUCGCUAGUAAUCGCGGAUCAGCACGCCGCGGUGAAUACGUUCCCGGGCCUUGUACACACCGCCCGUCACACCACGGGAGUUGGGAGUACCCGAAGUAGGUUGCCUAACCGCAAGGAGGGCGCUUCCUAAGGUAAGACCGAUGACUGGGGUGAAGUCGUAACAAGGUAACCGUAAAU